GCGCCCGGGCCGGCAACUCCCUGGGAGCUCGGCCCGUGCCGGGAACUCGCCCAGCAGCCCGUGUUUCUCGAGUGUGGGAAGCCGGCUCCCGGGCGACCCUCCCACCGGCUGCGGGGGCCCGGGACUGGGCGGUAGUGGAGGCAGGUCCUUGGACUGCAGGCUGAGGCUUUUUUCCCCCACGAGCGGUUUGGGCCCUCCAGGAGCCCCUGCGCGGGGGUCACGUGGAUUACGCUAGGUGAGAGCCGGAGAGGCUGCGCCACCCUCGGGAGGCUCCGUGCCUCCGCCCUUUGUCCUUUGCCCCUGACCAUGAGCGCCCCAGGCCCAGGGACCUCCUUAGGGGGAUGAAGGCUGGCAGAGACCUGGGGGCUCAGACUCACGGGGAAGGAACCUAGGCUAUUCCUUGUGCAUCCCAGGAUUUUACCCAUGAACGUGAACAUGAACGUGUUUUCAACCCCAGCGGUUUGUUCCCCUGGCGCCUCGACCCUCCUUUGAAGAGUCAUUCUAGAAGGCUGUAUUGCGAUACUGUUUGUACCUGUCACUGUGAGCCCUGAAAAGAGACAGAAGAAAACGCGAGUGCCUGGCCUGAGGGUGCUCUGUCCCGUGGGUAGCCAGGGCACUCCACUUCAGCAUUCUCCUGUGGUGUAACAUUACCUGCUACUCAUGCUGGUUCCCAUGCGCCAAGCUAAUUUCAACAACGGGUGAAGUGGGUAUCUCCAUGUGAUGGCUGAGGAGACAGAUUCUGGGUGUUGCUACUAAGCCUCAUGGAGGCAGCCAUGACAGAGCA
rnacentral:lncRNA from 1 species